CCCCCUCUUUUCCCUUCCGCGUCGACAUCAAUUUCAUGUUCAAACCUACACUGCCUUUUUAUUUUCUCCAUCUGUUUACUAGCAACCUUUGUUUCCAUAAGAAAUAAAAUAUGAGGCUGAAUGUGUCUCAACUUGUUUUUUAGACGACUGAUUGUUCGUGGUUGCCUCAAGCCACGAAUAUUCCAACUGAGAAUUUUCAUUGUGCC
rnacentral:lncRNA from 1 species